GUGCAAUGAACCGUGAAAAUGAGGUCAGGGUCAAAAGAAACCUGCGCUACUGACAUAAAGAUCAUAAAAUAUUUCCAUACACCAAAUAUAGUUGACCUAUGGCAUAUAGUAUUAGAUAAAAAGACCAAAACUCAAAAACUGAACUUUGACCACUGAACCAUGAAAAUGAGGUCAAGGUCACAUGACAUCUGCCCGCUAGACAUGUACACCUUACAAUCAUUCCAUACAACAAAUAUAGUAGACCUAUUGCAUAUAGUAUGAAAAAAAAGACCAAAACACAAAAAUUUAACUAUAACCACUGAACCAUGAAAAUGAGGUCAAGGUCCCAUGACAUCUGCCCGCUAGACAUGUACACCUUACAAUCAUUCCAUAUAACAAAUAUAGUAGACUAUUGCAUAUAGUACGAAAAAAACAGACCAAAACACAAAAAUUUAACUAUAACCACUGAACCAUGAAAAUGAGGUCAAGGUCAGAUGACACCUACCAGUUGGACAUGUACACCUUACAGUCCUUCCAUACACCGAAUAUACUAGCCCUAUUGCUUAUAGUAUCUGAGAUAUGGACUUGACC
rnacentral:lncRNA from 1 species